rnacentral:rRNA from 1 species
UUGUUGAGUUUACUCAACAAUUAGCGGCGGACGGGUGAGUAACACGUGGGCAACCUGCCUAUAAGACUGGGAUAACUUCGGGAAACCGGAGCUAAUACCGGAUAUGUUCUUUUCUCGCAUGAGAGAAGAUGGAAAGACGGUUUCGGCUGUCACUUAUAGAUGGGCCCGCGGCGCAUUAGCUAGUUGGUGAGGUAAUGGCUCACCAAGGCAACGAUGCGUAGCCGACCUGAGAGGGUGAUCGGCCACACUGGGACCGAGACACGGCCCAGACUCCUACGGGAGGCAGCAGUAGGGAAUCUUCCGCAAUGGACGAAAGUCUGACGGAGCAACGCCGCGUGAACGAUGAAGGCUUUCGGGUCGUAAAGUUCUGUUGUUAGGGAAGAACAAGUACCAGAGUAACUGCUGGUACCUUGACGGUACCUAACCAGAAAGCCACGGCUAACUACGUGCCAGCAGCCGCGGUAAUACGUAGGUGGCAAGCGUUAUCCGGAAUUAUUGGGCGUAAAGCGCGCGCAGGUGGUUCCUUAAGUCUGAUGUGAAAGCCCCCGGCUCAACCGGGGAGGGUCAUUGGAAACUGGGGAACUUGAGUGUAGAAGAGGAAAGUGGAAUUCCACGUGUAGCGGUGAAAUGCGUAGAGAUGUGGAGGAACACCAGUGGCGAAGGCGACUUUCUGGUCUAUAACUGACACUGAGGCGCGAAAGCGUGGGGAGCAAACAGGAUUAGAUACCCUGGUAGUCCACGCCGUAAACGAUGAGUGCUAAGUGUUAGAGGGUUUCCGCCCUUUAGUGCUGCAGCUAACGCAUUAAGCACUCCGCCUGGGGAGUACGGCCGCAAGGCUGAAACUC